rnacentral:rRNA from 1 species
AACCUUUACUAUAGCUUGACACUGAACAUUGAGCCUUGAUGUGUAGGAUAGGUGGGAGGCUUUGAAGUGUGGACGCCAGUCUGCAUGGAGCCGACCUUGAAAUACCACCCUUUAAUGUUUGAUGUUCUAACGUGGACCCGUUACCCGGGUUGCGGACAGUGUCUGGUGGGUAGUUUGACUGGGGCGGUCUCCUCCUAAAGAGUAACGGAGGAGCACGAAGGUUGGCUAAUCCUGGUCGGACAUCAGGAGGUUAGUGCAAUGGCAUAAGCCAGCUUGACUGCGAGCGUGACGGCGCGAGCAGGUGCGAAAGCAGGUCAUAGUGAUCCGGUGGUUCUGAAUGGAAGGGCCAUCGCUCAACGGAUAAAAGGUACUCCGGGGAUAACAGGCUGAUACCGCCCAAGAGUUCAUAUCGACGGCGGUGUUUGGCACCUCGAUGUCGGCUCAUCACAUCCUGGGGCUGAAGUAGGUCCCAAGGGUAUGGCUGUUCGCCAUUUAAAGUGGUACGCGAGCUGGGUUUAGAACGUCGUGAGACAGUUCGGUCCCUAUCUGCCGUGGGCGCUGGAGAACUGAGGGGGGCUGCUCCUAGUACGAGAGGACCGGAGUGGACGCAUCACUGGUGUUCGGGUUGUCAUGCCAAUGGCACUGCCCGGUAGCUAAAUGCGGAAGAGAUAAGUGCUGAAAGCAUCUAAGCACGAAACUUGCCCCGAGAUGAGUUCUCCCUGAGACUUAGAGUCUCCUGAAGGAACGUUGAAGACGACGACGUUGAUAGGCCGGGUGUGUAAGCGCAGCGAUGCGUUGAGCUAACCGGUACUAAUGAACCGUGAGGCUUAACCUUACAACGCCGAAGCUGUU